AAAGAAGCAGAGGGGGCUUAGUGGUGGGGUGACUGCGUACCUUUUGUAUAAUGGGUCAGCGACUUAUAUUCUGUAGCAAGGUUAACCGUAUAGGGGAGCCGGAGGGAAACCGAGUCUUAACCGGGCGUUAAGUUGCAGGGUAUAGACCCGAAACCCGGUGAUCUAGCCAUGGGCAGGUUGAAGGUUGGGUAACACUAACUGGAGGACCGAACCGACUAAUGUUGAAAAAUUAGCGGAUGACCUGUGGCUGGGGGUGAAAGGCCAAUCAAACCGGGAGAUAGCUGGUUCUCCCCGAAAGCUAUUUAGGUAGCGCCUCGUGAAUUCAUCUCCGGGGGUAGAGCACUGUUUCGGCUAGGGGGCCAUCCCGGCUUACCAACCCGAUGCAAACUGCGAAUACCGGAGAAUGUUAUCACGGGAGACACACGGCGGGUGCUAACGUCCGUCGUGAAGAGGGAAACAACCCAGACCGCCAGCUAAGGUCCCAAAGUCAUGGUUAAGUGGGAAACGAUGUGGGAAGGCCCAGACAGCCAGGAUGUUGGCUUAGAAGCAGCCAUCAUUUAAAGAAAGCGUAAUAGCUCACUGGUCGAGUCGGCCUGCGCGGAAGAUGUAACGGGGCUAAACCAUGCACCGAAGCUGCGGCAGCGACACUAUGUGUUGUUGGGUAGGGGAGCGUUCUGUAAGCCUGUGAAGGUGGCCUGUGAGGGUUGCUGGAGGUAUCAGAAGUGCGAAUGCUGACAUAAGUAACGAUAAAGCGGGUGAAAAGCCCGCUCGCCGGAAGACCAAGGGUUCCUGUCCAACGUUAAUCGGGGCAGGGUGAGUCGACCCCUAAGGCGAGGCCGAAAGGCGUAGUCGAUGGGAAACGGGUUAAUAUUCCCGUACUUGGUGUUACUGCGAAGGGGGGACGGAGAAGGCUAUGUUGGCCGGGCGACGGUUGUCCCGGUUUAAGCGUGUAGGUGUGUGUUCCAGGUAAAUCCGGUUCACUUUAACACUGAGGCGUGAUGACGAGGCACUACGGUGCUGAAGCAACAAAUGCCCUGCUUCCAGGAAAAGCCUCUAAGCAUCAGGUAACAUCAAAUCGUACCCCAAACCGACACAGGUGGUCAGGUAGAGAAUACCAAGGCGCUUGAGAGAACUCGGGUGAAGGAACUAGGCAAAAUGGUGCCGUAACUUCGGGAGAAGGCACGCUGACAUGUAGGUGAAGUGAUUUACUCAUGGAGCUGAAGUCAGUCGAAGAUACCAGCUGGCUGCAACUGUUUAUUAAAAACACAGCACUGUGCAAACACGAAAGUGGACGUAUACGGUGUGACGCCUGCCCGGUGCCGGAAGGUUAAUUGAUGGGGUCAGCGCAAGCGAAGCUCCUGAUCGAAGCCCCGGUAAACGGCGGCCGUAACUAUAACGGUCCUAAGGUAGCGAAAUUCCUUGUCGGGUAAGUUCCGACCUGCACGAAUGGCGUAAUGAUGGCCAGGCUGUCUCCACCCGAGACUCAGUGAAAUUGAACUCGCUGUGAAGAUGCAGUGUACCCGCGGCAAGACGGAAAGACCCCGUGAACCUUUACUAUAGCUUGACACUGAACAUUGAGCCUUGAUGUGUAGGAUAGGUGGGAGGCUUUGAAGUGUGGACGCCAGUCUGCAUGGAGCCGACCUUGAAAUACCACCCUUU
rnacentral:rRNA from 1 species